rnacentral:rRNA from 1 species
UACGUAGGGGGCAAGCGUUGUCCGGAAUCAUUGGGCGUAAAGAGCGUGUAGGCGGCCCGAUAAGUCCGCUGUGAAAGUCCAGGGCUCAACCCUGGAAUGCCGGUGGAUACUGUCGGGCUCGAAUCCGGAAGAGGUGAGUGGAAUUCCUGGUGUAGCGGUGAAAUGCGCAGAUAUCAGGAGGAACACCGGUGGCGAAGGCGACAUCCUGGACCGGUAUUGACGCUGAGGCGCGAAAGCCAGGGGAGCAAACGGG